rnacentral:lncRNA from 1 species
UGGAGCUCCGCCAGCAGCCAUGCUCUCCACCCUCCUCACGGGGAAAGGCUGCUCUUUACUGGCCAGCCCUCUGGAAAUGUCCCUCUGAGUCACUCUUAACAAGACAGGAGAAAGCAGUUUCCUGCUUUCACGCCUUCCCUUUUUUCUUUUCUCUCUUCCUUCCUUCUUCCGUUCCUCUUCCUUCCCUCCCUCUUGACCUUCCUCUCUCCCUCCCUUCUUUCCUUCCUUCCUGUGGCUCUCCUUUGUGAGUGACCUACCUCCGCUUCCUACUCUGUGACUUUGCACAUUCAAUCAUUGCCUGGCUCCACCAGCAGUAUAUAAGGUGAAAGAGGAUCCUGCCAGCUGUUCUAGGCCCAGAGGACACCUCUCUCUCUCUCUCUGUCACUCACACACACACACACACACACACACACUCUCUCUCUCUCUCUCACACACACCCACUUAUUGAUGGGGUAAUAGGAUCAAGAGGUAGCUUUGCAUCAUCAAAAAGAAGUCAGUCAUUCUAGCCUGGAGCUUUAGAAGACGAAGUAAAAAAGAAGUCAGACAGUCCUAGCUUUGAAUCCUGGCCCAGCCACUUACUAGGUGGGAGACCUUGGAUGAGGAAACUGAGGCUGAAACAGGCAAUUAAUUUGUGCAGGUGGCACGUUUACUACAUGGUGGAACCAGGAUCUGAACUCAAAUUUGUCUGUGAAUGUUUUCAGAAUAUUCACCUACAUGUUGCCCAAAGUCAAGGCUGCCCUGGGGCAGUGUGUAUACCUGAAUGACAAUCAGUACAGGCACUGAGGGAAGGGAGAACCGAUGCUGGAGAGGCAAGCAUAACUGCCACUGUUAACUUUGUGACCAAACUUCAUGUCUUGUGGCCUAAAGGACAAUCGUAUCCCUUCUGGGGGAAUUUCCCCACCUCCAUGUUGAAGCCAAGGAUGACUAGUACUCCAUGGAAAAGAGGUCAACAUGAUAACCAGGAGAUGUGGUCAUGGGGCAUUAAAAGGUUCGAAGCUGUUCCAGAAAGGAUGUCAUUGAUGUGGAAUACAGGAACUGUGGAUGCCUCCUGAAUGGGAGCUGCAAACGAUUAUCAGAGUCAAGCAAGAGGAAUGGCAAGGCAUGUGCUGAAUAACAUCACAUUAAUAUGGCUCUUAGCUACCUAACCCAUUAGGAGCCAUAAUUAGGAGAGUUUGAAACAGACUGCAAGCAUCUUCUCCAGAAAGAAGCUAGACUCUGGUGCUUCCCCGAGUGGCCCCCUGUGGUGUGGCAUGUCCGCUUCUCUUGGCAUCUGUGAGUAUAACUAUCUUUUUGAUAACAGUCAUCUAGUCUGCUGGCCUUGCUGUACCUAAAUAAUAAUAAUAAAACCAUUAACUACAUUUUAAAACAAGAAACCCUAUGCUCCAGAGGGGUUCCUUCUGCUUCCCAAACAGGUCCCUGCUUUCCUAUGCCCAUGUCUUUUCCUGUGCCUUUCCUCGUUCCCAGAAUAAACUUUCUCUGCCACAUCUGCAUCUUACAAUUCUAUCCAUCUUUCAAUAUAUUCUUGCUGGCAUUGUCUUGAAUCUCUGGUGACAAUAUAGACUUAAAGAUGAGAGUGUGAGGUUCAGAUUGGUUUGUGACUUAUACUAUAUCACACAGCAAGUUGAAGGCGGCAUCAGGCUCGAAGCCCAGCAGGCUUUCUUUGUGCCCCUUCCAAUCAUUCUAUUGGCUUAGGUCAACUGAGUGUGUGCAACAGAAAUGGAUCUUAGUUAACUUGAGAACAAAAGGGAUUUUCCAGAAAGAUGCUGGGGCAGCUCAAAG